rnacentral:rRNA from 1 species
CACGUAGGGUGCGAGCGUUAUCCGGAAUUAUUGGGCGUAAAGAGCUCGUAGGCGGUGUGUCGCGUCGGCCGUGAAAACCUGCAGCUUAACUGUGGGCUUGCGGUCGAUACGGGCAUCACUGGAGUUCGGCAGGGGAGACUGGAAUUCCUGGUGUAGCGGUGAAAUGCGCAGAUAUCAGGAGGAACACCGGUGGCGAAGGCGGGUCUCUGGGCCGAUGACUGACGCUGAGGAGCGAAAGCGUGGGGAGCGAACAGG